rnacentral:rRNA from 1 species
GACGAACGCUGGCGGCGUGCCUAAUACAUGCAAGUCGAACGGUUUAGUUCCAAGAGGCUUGCCUUUUGGAACUAGACAGUGGCGGACGGGUGAGUAACACGUAGGCCACCUACCUGUCAAACCGGGAUAACCCCGGGAAACCGACGCUAAACCCGGAUAAGCUCCUUUUUCGCAUGUGGGGGGAGUGAAAAGGUGCGACCUGAUGACAGAUGGGGCGGCUGCGGAUUAGCUAGUAGGUAGGGUAACGGCCUACCGAGGCGAUGAUGAGUAGCCGACCUGAGGGGGGGCAGGGCGAGAGGGGGACCGGGCUACGGCGGAGAGUGCUACGGGAGGGAGUAGUAGGGGAGGUACGGGAAUGGGCGAAAGCAUGACCGGGCGACGCCGGGUGAGUGAGGGCGGCGUUCGGGAUGUAAGCCUCUGUUGUUUGAAAAGAAGGGAAAGGGUAGGACGCGUAGGUGACGGUACUAAAUGAGAAAGCCCCGGCUAACUACGUG